rnacentral:piRNA from 1 species
UACAACUGCAUGAUACAGCUUCCAAACCUAAC